rnacentral:rRNA from 1 species
CAGAGGGCGCGAGCGUUGUCCGGAAUCACUGGGCGUAAAGGGCGCGUAGGUGGCCACUAUAAGGCCGCGGUGAAAGUUCGGGGCUCAACCCUGAAUCGGCCGCGGCGACUGUAGGGCUUGGGCACUGUAGAGGCAGAUGGAAUUCCGGGUGUAGGCGGUGGAAUGCGUAGAGAUCCGGAAGAACACCGGUGGCGAAGGCGGUCUGCUGGGCAGUGGACCCGUGAGGGUCCCAAUAGCCGACACUGAGGCGCGACAGCGUGGGGAGCAAACAGGAUUAGAUACCCUGGUAGUCCACGCCGUAAACGAUGGGCACUAGGUGCUCCGGGGAGCGACCCUUGGAGUACCGGCGCUAACGCAUGAAGUGCCCCGCCUGGGGAGUACGGCCGCAAGGCUG